rnacentral:lncRNA from 1 species
AUUCAUCAAUAUCUCUCAAUCUCUCUCAAGCUCUCUUUCAAUCUUUCUAGUGCAAGUGCUUAAUUUAUUGUUGCAAAUUCGUGAAACAUUGUGAAGUUGCUGAAUUGAAAUUUUCAAGUGUUCAAUUUCAACGAUUUUCAAUUUUCAAGAAGUUGUUCGUCAAUCCGGUAAACUCGUUUUAAAUCUUACGUGCUAAGAAUAUUUUUGUGUGUCGUUAUUUUGCUUAAUUAUAAU